rnacentral:rRNA from 1 species
GAUGAACGCCGACAGAAUGCUUAACACAUGCAAGUCAACUUGAAUUUGGGUUUUUAACUUAGGUUUGGGUGGCGGACGGGUGAGUAACGCGUAAAGAACUUGCCUCACAGCUAGGGACAACAUUUGGAAACGAAUGCUAAUACCUAAUAUUAUGAUAAUAGGGCAUCCUAUAAUUAUGAAAGCUAUAAGCGCUGUGAGAGAGCUUUGCGUCCCAUUAGCUAGUUGGAGAGGUAACGGCUCACCAAGGCGAUGAUGGGUAGCCGGCCUGAGAGGGUGAUCGGCCACAAGGGGACUGAGACACGGCCCUUACUCCUACGGGAGGCAGCAGUGGGGAAUAUUGGACAAUGGACCAAGAGUCUGAUCCAGCAAUUCUGUGUGCACGAUGAAGUUUUUCGGAAUGUAAAGUGCUUUCAGUUGGGAAGAAAGAAAUGACGGUACCAACAGAAGAAGUGACGGCUAAAUACGUGCCAGCAGCCGCGGUAAUACGUAUGUCACGAGCGUUAUCCGGAUUUAUUGGGCGUAAAGCGCGUCUAGGUGGUUAUGUAAGUCUGAUGUGAAAAUGCAGGGCUCAACUCUGUAUUGCGUUGGAAACUGUAUAACUAGAGUACUGGAGAGGUAAGCGGAACUACAAGUGUAGAGGUGAAAUUCGUAGAUAUUUGUAGGAAUGCCGAUGGGGAAGCCAGCUUACUGGACAGAUACUGACGCUGAAGCGCGAAAGCGUGGGUAGCAAACAGG